GCCAGACUGGUCCUGAACUCCUGACCUCAGGUGAUCUGCCUGCCUCGGCCUCCCAAAGUGUUAGGAUUACAAGUGCGAGCUACCGUGCGCAGCCGCUGGGAUCCCAUUUUAAUCAAGCCAAUUUGCUACCCAUGGGGACCUCAACAGCUUUGCCAUUGCACACUAUCUUUGCAGACAAGAUCUUAAUCACAUCCAACUUUCUGCAGUUGCACAGGGUACCUCAGACCCACAUCCCAGAUGACAUUCCUCAGAAGCUCGCAGCUGGAGAUGACAUCACCUUAGACAACAUCACCCUAGCCCAAGACAUCGCUAUUAGAGAUACAUCACCUGGACACUAAAGCCUCCAACCCAGUGACACUCUCAAGGUGCUGACAAAAUGGACAUGGACAUUUGUUGCUUUUCUUCUUUUGAAUUAGGAACUCUAUUGUGUUUCCUGAAUUUACUGUCUGCUUGGCCCAUGAUCCUGGUAUGUUCCUUGCUCUCUGCCAAAACAUGCACCGUCCCCUCCACACCUAAAGGAAAACCUGGUAGAAGCUACUACUCUCAAUGCCAUUCUAAAAUUGACGAAGAGUAUUAUUUUCCCCAAGAGGCAGCUGCUGCAGGCCAGUGAAUCCUCUGGACCCUGGGGAGAGGGUCAUACACUCCCUAGUGACUUCUACUGUAUGCUCCAGCUUUCCACCAGGACCUCCUGCCCUGUCCCCAACUGUAACGACCACAACCACCCCAUCCCCUUGGUUACACACAAAUAUCACCAGUCUUUACAUGUACUUUACUGACUUCUCAGAUAAUACCCUCCAACAAGAUAACUGCAGGACUUGCCACCAUGACCUGAGAAAUACACCAAGAUAUUAUUGUCCAAUUUUUUUGAGAUAUAUAUAUAUUUCUCAUACUUUUAACAUACUCUGCAAUCCACCAAGAUAUUGGUAGAGACCCUGGAAAUUUCAAAUCUAUUUCGUCUGCUAAUGCCAUGUGAAUGGGAAACUUAGAUACAGGCUGGCCUACAAGGACUCCUUAUACUUCAAUUUUUGUUCCUCCUUUCAACUCUCAUAAAAAAUAUUUUCUGUACUAUUUAGGGCAAAUGAUGGCCUUCUUUCUAAGUCUCAUCCAUCAUUGCUGCAAAGGUGCCUUAGUUUGAUGUUAAAGUGUCACAGGGCCAAUGUAUUGACCAUGUUUCUGGCGUCUAUAAAGUCGAUGUUUUAAUAUCUGUCCUACAUGCAUACACCAAACAUUCCUUGAUCUGGAAAACCCAACAGUAUGCUUUGCUUCAGCCUCAGGCCUCCCUUGUCGCCUCCUCUGUGCCACCCCCCAUUCCUCGGGAGUCCUCCUCCUCCCAGGGGCGCACUUUUCAAAUACAAACCAACCAAUCCAGAGCCCACACCCCAACCACCUCCUUUAUUGGUCUCUCACAUGCUGGGCCACUAUCCACUUUCCCUAAUCACCCAAAGUCAGGUACCAGACAAUUAGGGACAGCCCCUAUACCCCAGAGCCUGCUGAAAUUAGCAAACUGGCCAAUCCCGAGUCUGUUUACUUUGCCUUCCUGUUUCUUCCCAAGGAAAUCACAAAAAAAGGCUCUUGUCCACAGCCCCCCUCUCGCUCUGCCUCCUGCUUCCCUGUGCGGCCCUGUGGUGUGGUGCACACCUUCCUCUUGGGAACUGUGUGAAACUAUCUCCUAAUCCUCUCCGUUGGCCUUAGUAUACCUCAAAUUUUUUGUAUUGAUACACUUUUUUUUGUGGGGUUUUUUUUGUUUGUUUGUUUUUUGUUUGUGAGACGGAGUUUCACUCUUGUCUCCCAGGCUGGAGUGCAGUGGUACGAUCUUGGCUCACUGCAACCUCUGCCUCCUGGGUUCACCUGUGAUUCUCCUGCCUCGGCCUCCCGAGUAGCUGGGAUUACAGGCGCACACCACCACGCCUGGUUAAUUUUUGUGUUUUUAGUAGAGAUGGGGUUUCACCAUGUUGGCCAGGCUGGUCUCGAACUCCUGACCUCAAGUGAUCUGCCCGCCUCGGCCUCCCAAAGUGCUGGGAUUACAGGCGGGAGCCACCAUGCCCGGCUGACACACUGUUUUCUUUUAAACAGCUGGGAAACCUCUUAUCCUCAUCACCAGUGCCAGGGUCCAGCUUCAGGAGGGCAGGGCUCACCUGCUUUACUUCCAGAUCACCAUGUGCAGCGUGGAGCUUCCCUCUGACGUGUUUGUUGGAUUUGUUUCAAAAAGGCGGCCAUGGUUUCUUUUUUUCCUUCCUCGGCCCUGAUUAAUUUCAACAGAAGAAAAUGUAUCCCCUCUAGUUUGUGAUGGAAUCCAAGCUUAAUUAGCCAUUCAUGGUGCUAAACUGUCCUGCACUGGAUGACCCAAUCGCUUCUGAUUUUCCAAGCUUGGCUCUCAGACCAUCCUGGUGGAAGAAACACUAGCAGUCUGCCCAAUCUGAAUGCAAAUCCAGAAUAAUCUUUUCUUUUGUUGUUACACAGUUAUGAGUGCAAUUUUUAAAUGGCUGCUACUCUACAGCCUGCCUGCCUUAUGCUUUCUCCUGGGCACGCAGGAAAGUGAGAGCUUCCACUCCAAAGCAGAGAUCCUAGUGACACUAAGUCAGGUAAUAAUCUCUCCAGCUGGACCUCAUGCACUCACAUGGACAACACACUUCUCUCCUUCAGUGAUCAUCAUCCUUGUACCAUGUUGGUGGCAUGCUGUAAUCGUGACUCAACAUCCGGUUGCCAAUUGCUAUGUAACAAACCACCUCAACAUUCAGUGGCUUGAAUUGAAAGCAGGGUCUUGAAGAGAUAUUUGCACAUUUCAUCCUCCCAGCAGCAUUAUUCACAACAGCCAAUAGGCAGAAGCAACCCAAUGUCCAACCAUAGAUGAGUGGAUAACCAAAAUGUAGUCCAUCCAUACAAUGAAAUAUGAUUCAGCCUUAACAAGGAAGGAAGUCCCGCCACGUGCUACAACAUGGAUGGACCUUGAGGACACUAUGCUAAGUGAAGUAAGCCAGGCACAAAAGGACAAAUACUCUAUGAUUCCAUUUUAUAGGGUACCAAAGAGAAUCAAACUCACAGAGAUAGAAAGUAGACUGGGGUGGCCAGGGACUCGGGGAGAGAGGAAAGGGCAGUUAUUGUUUAAAAGGUACAGAGUUUCAGUUUGGGAAGAUGAAAAUGUUCUGGAAACGGUUAAUGGUGAUUUUACAUUGUUUAUGUUACCACGAUUUGUAAAAGAGCAGCUGCGCUGAGAAUGAGCAUGCUUGUCAUUGGCAGCUCUCUGAGAUUUUCAGUGCCUCUUACUGGCUUGUUAAGAAGACGGCAGAUUCCUCUCCCCGUCUGCUUCUUUCAUUAUAAAAUUCCCAUUUCCAUUUUGCCUCUAGGUAGAAGCUCACGGAACUCAAAUGGGAAAUGAUGAUGGCAGGAUUUUCCUGCCGAAAAGAGGUGUCUCAAAAGAAAAACAUAUUGUAUUUAACAUGGAGAAAUGAAAUCCUCCAAAGCGAGCUUUAUGAACUGAAUUACCCAGAACGGACUUACCUCUAUUGUCAGUAUUUUUCUGCUGCCCCUUUGGGCUUCUGGUGCCUGGAUAACUAAAAGAGCAGGACAUCGUGCUGCUUAGUGGGCUUUGCAGUGGGAAGCGGGAACGUCUACCUGCAUGAGCACGGGGCACUCUGCCCAGAGCUUGGGCACAUUCCCCUAGGCACAGGAGUAAGGAAGAAGUCUCCAGUGUAGGUUAGGAAAUAGGCCUUCAGCAUGAGCUUACCACAGCUUUUUUAAGGAAAAAAUUAGUGGCUUAAAAUAAUAUUCCACUUUUUUUUUUUUGAGAUGGAGUCUCACUCCGUUUCCCACGCUGCAGUGCAGUGGUGCAAUCUCAGCUCACUGCAAGCUCUGCCUCCUGGGUUCACGCCAUUCUCCUGCCUCAGCCUCCCGAGUAGCUGGGACUACAGGUGCCCGCCACCACACCCGGCUAAUUUUUUGUAUUUUUAGUAGAGACGGGGUUUCACCGUGUUAGCCAGGAUGAUCUCGAUCUCCUGACCUCGUGAUCCACCCGCCUCGGCCUCCCAAAGUGCUGGGAUUACAGAUAUUCCACUAUUUUUUAUCAUAAUUGUGUGGACUGACUGGAUUCAGCUGGGUGAUUUGCACUCGGAGUCUCUCGCGUGGCUGCCGUCUUCUGAAGGCUGGACGUCCCACAUGGCUUCUUUACUAAUACAUCUGGUGCUUCAGCUGGGACAGCUGGGACAGCUGGCGGCUGCACAGGCAUCUCGCUCUUUGCACACAGGCUCCCCAUAUGCUUAGUUUGAGCUUGGUGAUUUUAAAGUAGUUGAACUUAGAUGGCAGCUGGCUUCCCUCAGAGUAAAUAUGCCAAGAUACCCAGGUGGAAGCUGUAAGGUUUCUAAUGACCUAGUCUGAGAUUUCACACCAAGAUGGCUUCCGUCAUAUUCUGUUGGUCAAAAAUAAGCCACACGGUGGGGCAUGGUAGCACACACCUGUAACGCCAACACUUUGGGAGGCCAAGAAGGGUGGAUCGCUUGAGCCCAGGAGUUCGAGACCAGCCCGGGCAACAUGGUGAAACCCCGUCUCUACAAAAGAAUACAAAAAUUAGCUGGGCAUGUUGGCACACCUCUGUGGUCUCAGCUACUUGGGAGGCUGCGGUGGGAGAAUCUCCUGAGCCCAGGGAAGUUGAGGUUUCAGUAAGCCAUGAUCAUGCCACUGCACUCCAGUCUGGGUGACAGACUGAGACCCUAUCUCAAAAAAAAUAAAAGCUACAGGUCAACCCAGAUUCAAGGGGAUAGGAUUACACAAAGUCACAGAUUCAGGAAGGUAUAAUUUAUUGGGGAACCGUCUUUGGAGACUAGCUACCACAAUCUGUCACCAUCUUUUAGAUAAGACGAUCAACAUAUUUCUGAGUAUACUUUAGAUUUCCACUAUCAGUGCAUUUUCUGAAACUUCCCCAGUCUUAGCACUGAAGGUCCUGCACCCCAGGAAAUAUCUAUCAGUCUUUGUCAAACCAGGAUGGUUGGUCACCCUACUUUUAGACCUCCUCAUUUUCAUGAACUCAAUAUUGCAUAAGGUUGAUCUUCCAAAAACAUGUAUCUGCCUUAAAAUUGUGAUUUCCAUCCUGAUGAGGUCUCCUCAUAUUCCUUUGUCUUUCUGGUUUGUAUAGGAUCCACUUGACUUCAGAGCUGUAGAAAUCCAAUAAUAUGGCAGUGAUGAUGCAUUCUUUUAUUGGCCCACAGUUAUUAUUUUAAUCCAAGAUACAGCUGAACACCAUAUCUUAGAUCUAAACUCUCAUACAAUAAGCCUUAAAAUGUAACUAAUAUAAAUCUGGGAGUUCAUAUGACCCUGCCUUGGUGGGAGUGACAUAUUCAAAAAACCAACAAUUUGACAAAAAAUAUAACCUAAAAACAAUUCAAGUUGUAUUUGGACUGUGAACACCAAUACGGUAUUAGUGUUAAUACAUACAUGCUUGUUACCUUAUUACAAUAGCAUAAAAUAUCACAAAGUAGAAAGAGUUCUGGGUAGACAGGAGUCCUGCUGAGUAGCUCUGUGCCCUGGGUGGGGGUUAUGAGGAAGGGUUCCCAGGUCUGCUUCCUCCACCCUGAGGUCACCAUUAAAGUUGGAAGAUGACUUAAAAAUCAGACAGCAUCAAUCCCCUUCAAUAGUUUUCUAUGGUGUAUGUGUUCAUUAAAUUCUGGGUCAUUGAACGGUCAUGGAUAACCUUAAUCUCUCUUAGCCUCAAUGUCUACUAACAUAGUUCAUAUUCUGUUAAAGUUAUGAGCAUUCGUAUUCUAAGAUUUGUAUUGAAUAUAGAUGAUAGAUUAAAAUUUUAGUGACAAAUCUUGAUGAUUCUGUAGGAACUUUUCCAUGUGAUAAAUCUUCUUUUCAUGCUAUCUUGGCUUCAGCAGAAUGGCAACAUUACAUUUAAAGACAGG
rnacentral:lncRNA from 1 species